GGACCUCUAGCCCAAUUGGCAGGAGGCGGAUGCCUUAGAAGCAUUACAGUCUCGGUUCGAAUCCGAGGGGGUCCACCA
rnacentral:tRNA from 1 species